rnacentral:tRNA from 1 species
ACAAUAGCUCAGUUGGUAGAGCAUCGGCUUCCCAAGCCGAGGGUCACGGGUUCGAGUCCCGCUUGUC